UUACCCACUGUCUAAUUUUCAACUUUUUCUUACUUGUUGUUUCUGUCAAUAUGUUCGUAACCCAUUUUUUAUUUUUUGUUUUAGAUAAACAGCAUCCUGUUUCAUUGGAGAUACCACCAAUGGUCCAAUGUCGGUCGAGUUACGAAUCUCUUGUUCCCCUUUCUUUAAAUACCCUCUGUGUCCUCGUGUACACCCGUGUGUGUGUGGGUGUAUUCAUGAGGACGUCCUUUUUCCCAUCCCCCCUGGUGGAUUCAACUUUUCUGUGGAUGGAGCAGCACUUUGUGGAUGCCUGGCCGUAUUUCACAGGCAUAAAGGUGAUUUGCCCGCGGUAUGGCCUAACGGAACCAGAAUAGGACGCAGACUUGUCACGUUCACACCUAUUUAAUAUGUACAGCAGCUGCAGCUUGAAAGGAGGUGAUGCUGUGUGUGUGUGUUACUCUCUUGUCGGUUACCGACUUUGGCGACCCACUGUGCGAUUACGAGGUAAAGUCUGUCCCGAAGGUGCUAUCAUUUCGUGCACGUCGUAAAAUUUAUUACGUACUAGUUAGUCCUAAUAUGGAUGAAUGAAUUUUUUCUCCUCCCUAAAAUAAAGCAGUCGGGAAAAUCCCUCUGUCUGCUUUCCAGGAAAUUCGUUCAACACCUCAUCAGGAGGUAUAAUAUAAACUCAGCAGCACAUGUUGUUAAUUAUUUAGAUCCUGGAUCAAACAACCGUCAUCUUUGUAGUCCAUACAAUCAAAUUCUAGUAGUACCAUGCAACUUAAUAUUUAGAAUAGUUUUUACCGUGUGGGUGGCCUUCGUAUAUGAUUCAUGAUCAAGUCCGAGAUGUGGCAAAUGUUGAUUAAGAACAAGAAAGAAAGUGCACUAAACACAGUCCAUCCCGAUGCAAACCUGUAGUGGGUGGGUAAAAAAUCAUUGAUGUGAACUGUUGACCUAACAACGAAAUCCCUUGGAUACUACAACAGUGACCAUAUGACCGCUAUCUGGAAACCUAAUGCUCUUGUUGGAUAUGUCGGCAUCUCGGGGAGACCCGCAAUCAUCCGCCAAAACAAAAACUUCAAAGCCCCAUGAAGAUGGUAACUCGGUACUUCUGCUGCAGGUCAUAUCAGGCCUCACUUUCUAAUGUUUUUCUUUUGUUUUUUUUCCGGACGGAGGGAGGGGGAGUUUCAAAUCUGUUCAGUCGUUAACCUUAUCACUUAUAUAGAUGGUCCAGUUCUUUAAGUCGUUGAGCCAAAGAAGACCUCUGAGGACAAACACGGCAGCACUGGAACCCACCAGCAAAUAUUUCUCCGCUGGAAAGAUUCAUCCCACGCUGAAGCCCAGAGGUUUGCGCGCGCUUACCAUCCAGCGGCCUUAUGGGACUGUCUACACCUUUUUGGAGGAGUCAACGAUGGGAGGGAGCUGUUGAACUAUAAAAGGGGAUCUCGUCGGAGUCAACGUGACAGACACCUUCUACCUGUGAUUGGUUGUACCACUCAAAUAGGGUGAACUAUUUCAAUUUCGUGUAAGUUAUUACAUUGAGCUUCGUCCCUUCCGUUUGACAUCAACCAACUUCCUCCGCACCGCAAUUGUUCAGGAUCACUACACUUCAAGCACUUCAACUUCAAAUCAACUCCGAUCCGUG